AACCCAAAAUGGCGGCUGUAGAGUCUCUUGAGCGCGGGUCGAAGAGGUUUUAGUUUAAAUCGUGUCAAAGUGCCCCGGUUCUGACUGUAACUGUCUGUGUCUCCCCCAGAAACAUGUUCAGGCCUGUGUUCCGCCAACUCUGUGGUGACUACGUCUUUAUUUUACGUUUUCAGGUCAUUUUAUGGACAAAGAAAAGACGGAAACAGCGGCGGAGGCGGCGACAGGCGAAGCUACGACGCACUGAUGGAGGCCCAGAAUGGAGAGCCUCUACCAGGGGACAGUGGAAUGUUUGAUCCAGUGCACAAGGCACCUGAAGCAGACACAGAGGAGCCCAGAACAGACCCUGAGAUCAAAGAGGAGCUGCAGCAGAAAAUACACAAAGUACACAGUCUGGAGCAGGAGGAGUGUGAGGCG
ensembl:lncRNA